rnacentral:lncRNA from 1 species
CAUGUGGGGCCGCACUUACGCACGUCAGCGAAGGGCCCGUGAUGUCAGGCGGGCUGCAGCACGUGCUGAGGCAGCAGGCGCAGGAGAUCAGGAGGAAGGUGCGGCUAGGGAAAGUGGCUGAUUUGAUUAGAUGAUUGAUUGGCUGAUUGAUUGGCCUUAAGUCUAGGGGAUUCAUUCCUAAUUAGUUAUUUCCUAUUUUCUUGUUACCAAGUGUGGCAGGCCACGGGCCUAUAUAAACUGUACUAGAGGUCAUGAUUAAUCAAGCAAUGAAGUUAUCCCUAGUCUCUCUCUAUUCUCUGUAAGCCUACGGUAGAGGGGUAUAACCUCACCGGAGAAGACGGCCGACGGCUACGAGCUCCGUAGCCACGGUCCAGCCAGUCAGGGGUUUGCUGCCCUUGACAACCUGGUAUCAGCCUCCAGGCGUUCCCGUUCCCGGCAAUCCUCGCCCACCCGCUCCGUCCAAUCCACCACAGCCGCCGCCCACCACCACAGCAGCCCGCCAUCACCAGCAGCAUCCACCGCGUCUGCGCCGCAUCCAGCCACCAUGAGUGAGCCGACCAUGGCCGAUGUGAUGGAGAUGUUGAAGGCCCUCAAUUCGGAGAUGACAACGAUGAAGUCCGCCAUGGCGGCCAUGAAGGACAAGGCGUCGUCAUCAACGGACAGCAGCACGGGCGGCCGCGAUCUUGAUCGCCCUCCGAAAUUCCAGAAAUUGGAUUUUCCCCGUUAUGAUGGUAAGACCGAUCCGCUGCUCUUCAUCAACAAAUGCGAAUCAUAUUUUCGCCAGCAGCGUACCAUGGCGGAGGAGCGAGUUUGGAUGGCCUCGUACAACCUGGAGGACGUCGCCCAGCUCUGGUACAUCCAGCUGCAAGAAGAUGAGGGCACGCCACCAUGGGGGCGCUUCAAGGACCUCCUGAACCUCCGGUUCGGGCCUCCCCUCCGUUCGGCUCCGUUGUUCGAGCUCGCCGAGUGCCGGCGUACGGGUACAGUGGAGGAGUACUCCAAUCGCUUCCAGGCCCUCCUGCCGCGUGCGGGUCGUCUGGAGGAGGCACAGCGCGUCCAGCUCUUCACCGGCGGGCUCCUGCCACCACUCAGCCACGCCGUCCGCAUCCACAACCCGGCAACAUUGGCGGCUGCGAUGAGCUUGGCCCGCCAGGUGGAGCUGAUGGAGGCAGAUCGCCCGGCGCCGGCCCCAGCUCGCGCGCCACCGCGCGGCCUCCUGCCUGCGCCUGCGCCCCGUCCAGCACUUCCGGCGCCCCCGGCGCAACUGGCGCUUCCGGCUCCACCAGCGGCCGCCCAGCAGGGCCGCGGUGAGGGCAAUCAACGGCGACUCACCCAGGACGAGAUGGCGGAGCGACGUCGUCUGGGUCUGUGUUUCAAUUGUAAUGAAAAAUAUACACGUGGCCACAAUCGGUUCUGCAGGCGCAUCUUCUUCAUGGAAGGCGUGGAGAUUGAGGACGCGCCGGACGCCGCCGACGACGCGGACCACGACGCCGAGGCACCCUGUUUUUCACUACAGGCAGUGGCUGGGGUUCCCGUGGCGGGCACUAUGCAGAUCGCCGUGGUGCUGGGUACCGCGGCCCUCGUCGCGCUGCUGGACUCCGGCAGCACGCACAACUUCAUCUCGGAAGAGGCAGCUCGGCGCUCCGGUCUACCCCUCCGCCAGCGGCCUCGCCUCACCGCCUUGGUUGCCAAUGGCGAGCGGGUCACCUGCGCUGGGGUCAUUCGCGACGCACCCCUACUCGUCGAUGGCGCGGCGUUCCCGGCCGAUCUCUAUGUCAUGCCGUUGGCCGGGUACGACGUCGUCCUCGGCACCCGGUGGCUCGGCGAGUUGGGGCCCAUAGUCUGGGACCUUGGCAGCCGGCGCAUGUCAUUCCAGCGCCAUGGGCGCCCCGUCGCCUGGACCGGCGUGGCCUGUCCGUCGUUGCCAGCCUUGCGCGCGACAUCAGAGGCGCCGAGCGCGUCCCUCCUCGAUGAGUUGCUGGCCACAUUCAGCGACAUCUUCGCCGAGCCCACGGGUUUGCCACCGCCACGCGCCCGCGACCACAGCAUCGUCCUCCAACCUGGUGCCCCUCCGGUGGCUGUCCGCCCCUACCGGUACCCGGCGGCCCACAAGGACGAGCUCGAGCGGCAAUGCGCCGCCAUGAUUGCCCAGGGGAUCGUACGACGCAGCGACUCGGCGUUCUCCUCGCCGGUUCUCCUCGUCAAGAAGGCGGAUGGUUCGUGGCGGUUCUGCGUCGACUACCGCGCCCUGAACGCCGUCACCAUCAAGGACGCCUUCCCCAUCCCCGUCGUCGACGAGCUGCUGGACGAGCUGCACGGGGCACGCUUCUUCACCAAGCUCGACCUUCGGUCGGGGUACCACCAGGUGCGGAUGCGGCCCGAAGACAUCCACAAGACAGCGUUCCGCACCCACGACGGCCUGUACGAGUUCUUGGUGAUGCCAUUCGGCCUCUGCAAUGCCCCGGCAACAUUCCAGGCACUCAUGAACGACGUGUUGCGUGCCUACCUCCGCCGGUUUGUGCUGGUUUUCUUCGACGAUAUUUUGAUAUACAGCUCCAGCUGGGCGGACCACCUCCGACACCUCCGCGUCGUCUUGACCCUACUGCGCCACCACCGCCUCUUCGUCAAGAGGUCCAAGUGCUCGUUCGGCGUCGACUCCGUGAGCUACCUCGGCCACAUCAUCUCCGCGGCCGGCGUCGCCAUGGAUCCCGCAAAGGUCCAGGCCAUACACGACUGGCCACAACCUCGCUCUGCGCGUGCUGUACGUGGCUUCCUCGGCCUGGCGGGCUACUACCGGAAGUUCGUCCACAACUACGGCACCAUCGCCGCACCCCUCACCGCGCUCCUGAAGAAGGAGGGGUUCACGUGGAACGACGACGCUACGGCCGCCUUCACCGCCCUUAAGGCGGCUGUGACGUCAGCCCCGGUGCUGGCCCUUCCGGACUUCGGCAAACCCUUCGUCGUCGAGUGCGACGCGUCUACCUACGGCUUCGGGGCGGUCCUCAUCCAGGAGGCACAUCCGCUUGCGUUCUUCAGCAGGCCAGUGGCGCCACGACACCGCUCCCUCGCGGCAUAUGAGCGGGAGCUCAUUGGUCUUGUCAUGGCUGUGCGGCAUUGGCGGCCGUACUUGUGGGGACGUCGCUUCUUCGUCAAGACGGACCACUACAGCCUUAAGUACCUCCUCGACCAGCGCCUCGCGACGAUCCCUCAGCAUCACUGGGUCGGGAAGCUACUCGGCUUCGAUUUCUCCGUCGAGUACAAGUCGGGGGCAACCAACACGGUGGCUGAUGCCCUCUCGCGCCGCGACACCGACGAGGAACCGGCGGUGGCACUCAUGGCGAUCUCGGGCUCUCGCUUCGACUUCAUCAGCCGUCUACGCCAGGCCCAGGCCACCGACCCCGCCUUGGUGACCAUCCACGACGAGCUGCGCACGGGCACCCGCGCCGCCCCCUGGGGAUUGGCCGACAGCAUGGUCACCUACGGGGGUCGCCUCUACAUUCCGCCGUCAUCACCACUACUGCAAGAGAUCCUGGCGGCCGUCCACGAUGAUGGGCACGAGGGUGUCCAGCGCACCCUGCACCGCCUCCGCCGCGAUUUCCAUUUUCCCAACAUGAGUCGUUGUGUGCAGGACUUUGUGCGCCAGUGUGUCAUUUGCCAGCGGUACAAGUCCGAGCACCUUCACCCAGCCGGGCUGCUCCUGCCGCUGCCCAUUCCCACAGCUGUCUGGGCCGACAUUGGCCUGGAUUUUGUGGAAGCGCUGCCCCGGGUGAAUGGGAAGUCGGUGAUCCUCUCCGUCGUCGACCGCUUCAGCAAGUACUGCCACUUCAUACCCCUGGCGCACCCAUACACGGCUGAGUCCGUGGCUCAGGCGUUCUUCACCGACAUCGUGCGCCUCCAUGGCAUGCCGCAGUCCAUGGUGUCCGACCGCGAUCCGGUGUUCACCUCGCUGUUUUGGCGCGAGUUGAUGCGCCUCAUGGGCACCAAGCUGCACAUGACCUCCGCCUUCCACCCCCAAUCCGACGGCCAAACGGAGGCGGCCAACAAGGUCAUUGUCAUGUACUUACGCUGUUUUACAGGUGACCGACCCCGGCAGUGGCUGCGAUGGCUUCCAUGGGCUGAGUACGUGUACAACACGGCCUAUCAGUCCUCACUUCGGGAGACGCCGUUCCGCGUGGUGUACGGCCGCGACCCGCCCACCAUCCGCUCAUACGAGCCUGGUGAGACGCGAGUUGCAGCAGUGGCACGCGACAUGGAGGAGCGCGAGGCCUUCCUCGCUGAUGUUCGCUACCGCUUGGAGCAGGCGCAGAGUGUCCAGAAGCGCCACUACGACCAGCAGCAUCGCCCGGUGCACUACCAGGUCGGCGAUUGGGCGCUUCGCCAGCGCACCAUGGCGUCCCUUCCUCAGGCGCAGACCGGCAAGCUGAAGCCGCGCUACAUCGGGCCCUACCGCGUCUGCGAGAUCAUCAACGAUGUGGCUGUGCGUCUGGAGCUUCCCCCACAAGCUCGCAUACAUGAUGUGUUUCAUGUAGGUACCCUCAAGAAGUUCGCCGGCACUCCCCCAGAUGUUCCACCGGCUCUGCCACACAUUCACCAUGGUACGGUGGCUCCAGAACCCAGCAGGGUUGAGUGUGCUCGCUUGGCGCGUGGCGUUCGUCAGCUGCUCGUCCAUUGGCGCGGCGAACCUCCAGAGUCGGCCACAUGGGAAGAUGCUGACUCCUUCCGCGAGCAGUUCCCAGACUUCCAGCUCGAGGACGAGCUGACUCUCGAGGGGGGGAGAGAUGUCAUGUGGGGCCGCACUUACGCACGUCAGCGAAGGGCCCGUGAUGUCAGGCGGGCUGCAGCACGUGCUGAGGCAGCAGGCGCAGGAGAUCAGGAGGAAGGUGCGGCUAGGGAAAGUGGCUGAUUUGAUUAGAUGAUUGAUUGGCUGAUUGAUUGGCCUUAAGUCUAGGGGAUUCAUUCCUAAUUAGUUAUUUCCUAUUUUCUUGUUACCAAGUGUGGCAGGCCACGGGCCUAUAUAAACUGUACUAGAGGUCAUGAUUAAUCAAGCAAUGAAGUUAUCCCUAGUCUCUCUCUAUUCUCUGUAAGCCUACGGUAGAGGGGUAUAACCUCACCGGAGAAGACGGCCGACGGCUACGAGCUCCGUAGCCGCGGUCCAGCCAGUCAGGGGUUUGCUGCCCUUGACA